UACGUAGGGGGCAAGCGUUGUCCGGAUUUAUUGGGCGUAAAGAGCGUGUAGGCGGCCUGAAAGGUCAGCUGUGAAAACUCGAGGCUCAACCUCGAGACGUCGGUUGAAACCAUCUGGCUAGAGUCCGGAAGAGGAGAGUGGAAUUCCCGGUGUAGCGGUGAAAUGCGCAGAUAUCGGGAAGAACACCCGUGGCGAAGGCGGCUCUCUGGGACGGUACUGACGCUGAGGAGCGAAAGUGUGGGGAGCGAACAGG
rnacentral:rRNA from 1 species